rnacentral:rRNA from 1 species
UAAGGAAUAUUGGUCAAUGGACGCAAGUCUGAACCAGCCAUGCCGCGUGAAGGAUUAAGGCCCUCUGGGUUGUAAACUUCUUUUAUAGGGGAAGAAAUGUGACGGUUCUCCGUCACUUGACGGUACCCUGGGAAUAAGCACCGGCUAACUCCGUGCCAGCAGCCGCGGUAAUACGGAGGGUGCAAGCGUUAUCCGGAUUCACUGGGUUUAAAGGGUGCGUAGGUGGGCAGAUAAGUCAGUGGUGAAAUCUUCCGGCUUAACCGGGAAACUGCCGUUGAUACUAGUUGUCUUGAAUAUUGCGGAGGUAAGCGGAAUAUGUCAUGUUGCGGUGACAUGCUUAGAUAUGACAUAGAACACCAAUUGCGAAGGCAACUUACUACACAAUCAUUGACACUGAGGCACGAAAGCGUGGGUAGCGAACA